CAUAAUUAUUUUUAAUAUUUGAGUUCAAUGUGUAAUAUUUAAGAUUUAUUCACAUAAAAGUAUCGUGUCCGUGUUGUGCCGUGUCUAGUACCCCAAAAAUAGUUGACCAGCUUGGGCCAUCUCCGUGCCUGUGUUGUGCCGGAGUUUAUUGAGUUUAAUAUGUCAAAAACUUAGAAUCAUUUAAGAUUUGCUCACAUAAACGUAUCGUGCUCAUGUUAUGCUGUACUCUGUGGCCCAAAAAUAGUGGAUUGGCUGGGCCCAUCACCAUGCUGGAGUUUUAAUAUGUCGUGUCUGUGCCGUGCCAGAAUUUUAACUUGUCGUGCAUGUGCCGUCUCUCCUGUUUCAUACCCUGACUCUUAUGAAGUCAACACAAAGUUUGAACCCUUUUUCUAACUUAGGAGGAGGAGGAUAAGGUGCCAAAGUUUGAACCAUGUCAAGGUAGUGAAGUAUUAGGUGUCUUAACAUUUAAAUUAUCAAUCGAACCUAACACAAAGCCUUGUUUUGUAAAUACAACUUUCGACCUUCAUCAAUUUUAUGACAUGUUAAUUCAUGACUUUGCCAAAAAAAAUUUGGUGCAACUUCUGUUUUUUUUUUGUAUUAGAAGUUGUGUUAGAGCAUUUUUCAUAACUUAUUCUUUUUGCUUAUAUACUAAAAAUAACUUUAAAAAAUAUGGAAAAAUUAAUUUUUUAAACUUUAUUUUUGGUUCUUUUCAACUUGUACUUUUUGAAUAAUCAAAUUUUAACGACGUCACGGAAUCACCAAGGUUGGAAAAAUAAGUUAAAACCACUUGUAUUUAGGAAAUAAGAUCCUAAAGAAUUCGGGUUGGGUGAAAAGGUAAUAAGAUUGUAAAGAACUCGGGUUUGGUUAUUAAAAUAUAUGUUCGUAAUACGUAAACAUGUAAACAAAGCAUUACAUUUUAAUGCUUGUCUUGAUAACCGGACACCCGGUUAUUAAAAACAAAAACAAAACCAUUACAUUCGAAUGAAAACUAGAAAUGGAACAAAACCUGACUAGAUGUCAGAAGCCAAGUUUGGGGGUACUAAUUAAGGAGAUUUUCUUGCAUAAAAUCCUUCAAUACUUGGAGGAGUUAUAAUAAUCCCAUGAAUAAUUGGAUUGAGGAAAAACUAAUUAAGGAAAUUAAUACUUAACAAACUCAAAAUAAAUCAAAGACUUCAUUUUUUUAACAAACACAAAAACUAAUUAAGGAAACUAAUACUUACCAUCUUUGUGAUGAAAUCACAAGAAACUCAACCUUGACAAAAGCUCCCAGCAACGGACACCAAAAUGAUUAUUUUGAUAUGAUGCUAUCUAACUAUUGCAGGCAGUUCCCAAGCGUAAGAAUUUAUCAAUGCAAUAUAAUACUUGGAAUUCUUAAAAUCAUAUCCACAAGGAGAUAAAAAUGCAAGAUUAAGUUUUGUUGCAUGUGAAGAAUUGUAAAAUGUAUAUUUUUGAAAUUUUUGAAAAAUUAUGUGAAUGGGAUGUAAAUUAUAAAUGUAAAAUAGCAUGUUCCCAACUUAGUCUCUAGCAUGUAAAUUGUGUGAAUGGGAUGUAAAUAUAAAUUACUUAGUCUUUUUUCUAGCUUAGAUGUUCCAACUUAUUCUCUCUUUACGUAGUCAAUCAAAUUUCAAGGCAUGAUAUUAGUUAGAGGAUUUUGUAAUGAAAAUAUGUUUUAUAUCUAAAUAUUUAUUUAUGAGAUUGGUAAUAACUUUAUACAACAUUUCAAAUAUUCAGAGUGUAAGAAAUAUUAGCGUUACUUAUACUAAGUGCACUUAUUGACAAAUAAUCGAAGGUGCAUACAACUCCAAGUCUCGAUCUUAAGAACACCAUUAAUCAACUUAAAACAAUUUAUUUAAACCAUUUAAAAAAAGAUGAUAUAGUCCUUGAACCAAGUCAAUGGAUCUAGCCUUCCAUGGAUAAGGAAAACUCAAACAUACAUGAAGCACUAGUCAUUAAACUACAAUAAUUAACAACAAGAAUGAAAUAGGAAUGAGAAUUCAAUAUUAUAAUUAAAAUUAAAAUUAAAAUCUAAGUAAAUUUACAAUCAUUUGAAUUGUAGCAAAAGUAGAAUAAUAAUUAUAAAUUUCAACUUCAAAACAAGUGUUUUUCUUCCUCCUUUGAAGUCUCUAACUGCUAAUCUAAUCUAAUUUAAUCUAAUCUCAAACUAAGAAUUUAAAAAAGAAAAAUAUAUCAAAGUAUUAAUAAAGUAGGGCACAUUCUUUAUCUUGAAGAAUUUCCCCAAAACAAAGUGUCUUGGGGUGCCAAAUACUCUUCAAUGUUGAGAUUCCCUCCAUAUAUAUAAGCCUUAAAAUUUUAAGAGUGUUGAAAAUAGUUUUCCAUGUUGAAUUUGAGGGUUUGCCGCCUUCUUCAACCAAUUAAAACAGAGUCCCAACCGGUUGGGCCUGCUUCCUUCAGAGCUAGAUUUCCUUCAAGUUUGACUGAUUGAGGAUUGAGCUUGAUCGAUUAAGGAUUUAUGUUUGAGACUUCUGCUUUCCUUCUACUG
rnacentral:lncRNA from 1 species